rnacentral:tRNA from 1 species
GGAAGCUUAGCUCAGUUGGGAGAGCGUCUGCCUUACAAGCAGAGGGUCAGGGGUUCGAAUCCCUUUGCUCCCA